rnacentral:misc_RNA from 1 species
AAUCGAAAUUACAACAACUAAAAAAGCAUCAAAUCAAAAUAGCGUAGAUAAUCACAGAAAGUUUUGGGUGGUGCAUUGGCCCAGGUCAAGAGCAGAAGCAGGAUUCUGGAUGGUAUGCCCAAAACAAAAAAAGGCUUAUUUCCAGCAGACGCAGGUACUAUGCUGCCAGAACCGACGGAUCCUUCGGCCGGAUCCUGAUGCUUCCAAUGUGAACUCCGAAAUGGGAUACGGAUUGUCAGAGUAACUACCCAUAGGCCUUAUCCUAUAUCUCUGACUAGGUGUGGCCUUCCAAGAUGCAUUCCUUCGUUUCAUCGCGCCCUCAUUAGAAGGAGAG